UCUACACAGCUUGCUGGUGGGGAUUAGUGGCGAACGGGUGAGUAACACGUGAGUAACCUGCCCUGGACUCUGGGAUAACCCCGAGAAAUCGGAGCUAAUACCGGAUAGGACCUUUCCUCGCAUGAGGUUUGGUGGAAAGUUUUUCGGUCUGGGAUGGACUCGCGGCCAAUCAGCUUGUUGGUGAGGUAAUGGCUCACCAAGGCGUCGACGGGUAGCCGGCCUGAGAGGGUGACCGGCCACACUGGGACUGAGACACGGCCCAGACUCCUACGGGAGGCAGCAGUGGGGAAUAUUGCACAAUGGGCGCAAGCCUGAUGCAGCAACGCCGCGUGCGGGAUGACGGCCUUCGGGUUGUAAACCGCUUUUAGUAGGGAAGAAGGGCUUCGGCUUGACGGUACCUGCAGAAAAAGGACCGGCUAACUACGUGCCAGCAGCCGCGGUAAUACGUAGGGUCCGAGCGUUGUCCGGAAUUAUUGGGCGUAAAGAGCUCGUAGGCGGUUUGUCGCGUCUGCUGUGAAAACUAGAGGCUCAACCUCUAGCCUGCAGUGGGUACGGGCAGACUUGAGUGGUGUAGGGGAGACUGGAAUUCCUGGUGUAGCGGUGGAAUGCGCAGAUAUCAGGAGGAACACCGAUGGCGAAGGCAGGUCUCUGGGCACUUACUGACGCUGAGGAGCGAAAGCGUGGGGAGCGAACAGGAUUAGAUACCCUGGUAGUCCACGCCGUAAACGUUGGGCGCUAGAUGUGGGGACCUUUCCACGGUUUCCGUGUCGUAGCUAACGCAUUAAGCGCCCCGCCUGGGGAGUACGGCCGCAAGGCUAAACUCAAAGGAAUUGACGGGGGCCCGCACAA
rnacentral:rRNA from 1 species